rnacentral:tRNA from 1 species
GGCCCGUUGGCGCAAUGGUAGCGCGUCUGACUUCAGGUCAGAAGGUUGGGUGUUCAAAUCACUCACGGGCCA